UAACUUUACGUUUUUUUUAGUUUCACUUUCAUUUCGUGCCUUCCUCCCCCUUAUUCCCAUUUCCAAAAUCAAAAUCCCUAACUCACCACCACCUCCACCGAUCCAGCAGGGCUGUCUGUCGGCGCUGCUCACCAAUCACCAGUCACCAUAUUCAUCUCCACCUCCCACCUGCUUAUAUCAAACAACCUAACACUCUUAAAAGCCUCAACCUCAGUCAGCUCAUUGUCUCUAGCCUUUUCGCUUUUUUCUCAAAGAAUCGAGAAAAAAUAGGAAGAGAGGCCAAAAAAGAUAGUAGAGAAAACCUCUCUACGCUUCUUCAUUUGCAGUCUCGGAGCUCCCCACAACACAUUCGAACACUCCUAUACCUAUGGACGAUGGGUUUAAUGAGUAUGAAAGUGCUCUCAAACGUCAAAAGUCUACCACUUUAAAGGUGUGAGAUGAAAUGACAAAGCUUGAAUACGAGAACAAAAAUGAAUUGAAGGCACAAUGUAAUCACUGUAAGAGUAUCUUCUCUGCUAAAUCUUCUAGUGGAACCUUUCAUUUAAGACGUCAUCUGAAUCACUGUUUGAAAAAAGUUAAUAAUGACAUCACUCAAUACACCAUAGCCACUCAACCAUCAUUAGGAGGUGGUCCAUCUAUAAAAAAACUACAAGUUUGAUGCUGAUGAGUGUCGUCGAGCUGUUUCUACUUUUCUUGUGUGUGGCAAGCAUUCAUUUAAGACAAUUGAAGAACCGGGAUUUAGAUACAUGAUGAGAAUUGCUAGUCUCAAUUUUAAGAAUAUAAGUUGAUUUACAGCUCCUAAGGAUGUCCUAAUGUAUUAUUCAAAAGAGAGAGAUCAUGUUAAAGAAGAGUUAGCUAAAGCACCUAGUUUAAUUUGUCUAACUUCUGAUAAUUGAAACUCGGAGCAUACUAAUGAUGAAUAUAUUUGCAUUACUGCUCAUUGGAUUGACAAAUAUUGGAAGCUACAAAAGAGAAUCAUAAGGUUUAGAGCUUUAUUUCCUCCGUAUGAUGGUUUGAACAUAGCGAAUGAACUUGUUUUAUGUUUAUCCCAAUGGGGUAUAGAAAAGAAAAUUUUUAGCAUCACUUUGGAUAAUGCUUCUUAUAAUGAUGUUAUGGUUUCCUGUCUUAAAAAUUGUUUUUGUGCGAACCCAGCUAUUUUGUGUGAUGGUGUUUUUUUCAAGUUAGAUGUUGUGCACAUAUAUUGAAUCUUACAGUUAAAGCUGAUUUGGAACUUGCUGAUGAUGUUGUUGGUAAGAUUUGAAAUGGAAUUAAGUACAUAAAAAAGUCAGGAAUUUUUAGGAAAGAUUUUAUGAUGUGGCUGACAAAAGUUUUCAUUUGAAUGUGACAAAAAAUUUGAGUCAAGAUGUGUGUGUGUGAUGGAAUUCUACUUAUUUGAUGUUUGACUCUUCUCUUUACUACAAAGAUGUGCUAGAUUAUUGGGGCCAACGGGAUAAAGAUUAUCAAAUAUUUGCACUUUCUAACUAGGAGUAGAGAAAUGUUUCUAUUCUUUGCAAAUUUUUGAAAGUCUUUUAUGAUGUGACUUGUGUUUUUUUUGUUCUAAUUAUCCAACGGCUAAUCUUUAUUUUAGAGGGGUUUGGAAGGUUCACAAGGUCUUACUUGAUACAGUUAAAGGUCUUUAUUCUUUUUUAACUCCAAUGGUUAAACAAAUGCAAGAGAAAUUUAAUAAAUAUUGGGAUGAGUAUUCGUUGAUAUUGUCACGUCUUGCAAUUUUAGAUCCUCGUUACAAGUUGAAUUAUGUGCAGUAUUGCUUUACUACAAUUUAUGGUAUUCAUGCUUCAAAUUUUGUUGAAACCAUUCUUAGCAAUCUUAGACUCUUGUUUGACGAGUAUGUUAAGAAAUCCAAAUCCACGUCUUCCUCUUUGGCUGAGAGUUCUAAUGUUUCGGAUAAAUAUCCUAUUGAUUCUAUUUUGUAUCAACACAAUGUUAAUAGUGUUGAUUUUGGGGGAGGUUUUGAUGGGAGAUGAUUAUAAACGGUAUUUAAAUGAAUCUAGCACUAAGAGUGAAAAGUCACACUUGGACAUUUAUUUGGAAGAACCAGAGCUUGAGUUGAAUAGUUAAAUAGAUGUUUUGGAUUAUUGAGCAAAAUUUCAGUUCGAUAUAAUGAGCUUUCAUUAUCGGCUUAUGAUUUGGCAAUUCUAAUAUCGACUGUAGCUUCCGAAUCGGCUUUUAGCAUAGGUAAGAAAGUUAUCACACCUUUGAGGAGUUCACUUAAGCCAAAAACGGUUCAAGUUGUUGUUUGCUUUGAUGAUUGGAUGCGAGCUAAGGAAUUUUCAACGGAAAUUGGUUGCAAGAAUGAUGAGGACGAUGAGGAUAAUGUUUCUUCGAUUGCUUUUUAGGUAGUGUCCAACUCAAAGUUCUCAAUCAUUCGUCUAGAACCCUAGGUCAAAUCCGCGACUUGGACAAACUUAUGAUCAUGCUCUGCAUGCAUCCUUAACAUGUUGUUACUGGCACUUUUCUUUUAUUUGAUUCACCUAAUGUUCUUUCCAGUGUUGUAUCUGCAUUGUCAGCUUAAAAGAUUAUAAGAAAAGUGUGUGAGAUAUACUUAUCCUAUAUCCUAGAUACAAGAAUAAAAAAUCCUAAAUUGGAAGACAUACCUACAGUACGGGUGUAUCCUAAUGUAUUCCCAAAAGAAUUGCUAAGUCUAUCGCCUGAAAGAGAAGUUGAGUUUUUUUGUGUUAUCUGACAUUGCACCAAUAUCUAUUACUCCUUAUUGAAUAACACCUAUAGAAUUAAAAUAGUUGAAGACUCAAUUGCAAGAGUUGUUAGAUCGAGACUUUAUAUGUACCAGUGUAUCGCCUUAGGGUGCACCAAUUUUAUUUGUAAAAAAGAAAGAUGAAUCUUUGAGAUUAUGUAUUAAUUAUCGAUAAUUAAAUAAGGUAGCAUUGAAAAAUAAGUAUCCCUUGCCAAAGAUUAAUGAUUUGUUUGAUCAGUUAAAAGGAGCAAGUGUAUGGUUGAAGAUUGAUCUCCAAUCAAGUUAUUAUCAACUUCGGAUGAAGAAAUCAGAUGUGUCUAAAACUACGUUUAGAAUGAGGCUACUUUAAAAGAAUGUUAAGUUUGAGUGGACCAAUGGCUGCCAACGAAGCCUUGAGAGUUGAAGAAAGCACUUAACACGACCCGAGUCAAGAAAGGAGUAUGUCAUUUAUAAUAAUGCAUCUUAUAAUGGACUUGGAUGUGUGUUGAUGGAAGAUGAAAAAGUAGUUGUUUAUGCUUCUCGACAACUAAAACUAUAUGAGAAAAUAUUUGACACAUGAUUUAGAGUUGUCAACUGUUGUAUUUACUUUAAAAUUUUGGAGACAUUCUCUACAUGGAGAGAGGUGUUAUAUUUAUAUUGAUCACAAAAGUUUAAAGUA